rnacentral:rRNA from 1 species
GAUGAACGCUGGCGGCGUGCCUAAUACAUGCAAGUCGAGCGAACAGACGAGGAGCUUGCUCCUCUGACGUUAGCGGCGGACGGGUGAGUAACACGUGGAUAACCUACCUAUAAGACUGGGAUAACUUCGGGAAACCGGAGCUAAUACCGGAUAAUAUAUUGAACCGCAUGGUUCAAUAGAGAAAGACGAUUUUGCUGUCACUUAUAGAUGGAUCCUCGCCGCAUUAGCUAGUUGGUAAGGUAACGGCUUACCAAAGCAACGAUGCGUAGCCGACCUGAGGGGGGGAUCGGCCAAACGGGAACUGAGACACGGUCCAGACUCCUACGGGAGGCAGCAGUAGGGAAUCUUCCGCAAUGGGCGAAAGCCUGACGGAGCAACGCCGCGUGAGUGAUGAAGGUCUUCGGAUCUUAAAACUCUGUUAUUAGGGAAGAACAAUUGUGUAAGUAACUAUGCACGUCUUGACGGUACCUUAUCAGAAAGCCACGGCUAACUACGUG